AUCUGUUCAUUGCCUGCCUCCCCCCCAUUUUAGCGUAAUAAUUUAAAGAGCUUAGUGUUCUUAAAGCCUUUGUGUGCUUAGACAUACUUUCAAAAGCCUUUGAAAAUUCAGUCAAACAAAUAUACAUGAUAUGGAAACAACCGCGUCUACAGCACAGCAUGCAUUUGGAGCGGGCCCUCGUGGGCCCAACCCAGCCCAUGGACCUCAACCGGGCCAGGGCCCCCGACACCCAGGUCAUCCUGGACCUUACGGAGUUCCACGUCCCGAGGACCAGCCCCCACACCAGCAACACCAGCAGCCCCAUCACCACAUCCAGCACAGCAGACCAUUCUUCUACAUACACCCUUCCCAGCCAUUCCCUUCCCAGCCAUUCCCUUCCCAGCCAUUCCCUUCCCAGCCAUUCCCUUCCCAGCCAUUCCC